AAAAAAAAACUUGGUGGCUGGGAAUUGUGUACAUGGGUCCAAAUUCCUCUUCUGUGAUUAAUCAGCUGAGAGAUGGUGGGUGAAUCUCUUCAUGUCUCUGUGCCAUAGUUUCCCAUAUUUAAGGAAGAUAACACCUUCCUCCAACCCUGGACAUCCGCCUGGCCUUCCAGAAAGGGUCACUGACUAGCCAAAAAUAUCUUCUUUCUUGGGGAUGGAAAUGCAGGAGUCUCUGAGGGAUAUGGAGUGUGUCAGGGAGGCAGCAGCCCAUUUCUGGGUAUGCUCCCCUCUCCGGGCUGCCUGGGCUGGUGGGAAGCCGUGGGUAGGCAGAAGCAGCCCCAAGACACUCUGUGCCUCCAGGAGCUGCUGUGGCUUUCUUUGAGGAGAGAGCCCGCCAGCUGGGCCUGGGCUGUCAGAAAGUGGAGGUGGCACCUGGCUAUGUGGUGACCGUGUUGACCUGGCCAGGCACCAACCCUACACUCUCCUCCAUCUUGCUCAACUCCCACACGGAUGUGGUGCCUGUCUUCAAGGAACAUUGGAGUCACGACCCCUUUGAGGCCUUCAAGGAUUCUGAGGGCUACAUCUAUGCCAGGGGUGCCCAGGACAUGAAGUGCAUCAGCAUCCAGUACCUGGAAGCUGUGAGGAGGCUGAA
rnacentral:sRNA from 1 species